CGGCCUGGUUCAAGUAAUCCAGGAUAGGCUGUUACCAGGCAACACGGCCUAUUCUUGAUUACUUGUUUCAGGAGG